rnacentral:RNase_P_RNA from 1 species
GAAGUGAGCCAGACGAUCGCUGCUGUGGAGAUCUCCGUGAUUGAAGCAGGGGAGGAAAGUCCGGGCUUCAUAGGGCAAGGUGCCAGGUAACGCCUGGGCGGUGUGAACCGACGGAAAGUGCAGCAGAGAGUAGACCGCCUUCAAUAACGUUUCUUUUCGGAGAAAUGGAAGGUAAGGGGUGAAAGGGUGCGGUAAGAGCGCACCGCAUGGCUGGUAACAGUUCAUGGCAUGGUAAACCCCACCCGGAAGCAAGACCAAAUAGGGAUCCUAUAGGCAUGGCCCAUGCUGGAUCCGGGUAGGUCGCUUGAGCGUAUGAGUGAUCAUGCGCCUAGAGGAAUGAUCGUUCUAGACAGAACCCGGCUUAUCGGCUCACUUCGAUG